AGAAAUUGGAAGAGCAGAAUAUAACAUGAAAAGCUGUAGCUGUGGAAAAAGGCCAGCUGGUUCAACAUGCCAGUCCUUUUAAAGCAGACCCAGGAAGCAGAAUAAUAUUUUUCAAACUGAAGACUUCACUCCCAUCGUAACAGAUCAAACCAUCGUUCAGACCAGCAGAUCCUGUCCUCUCUCAGCCUGAUUGUUUAGAAGCAAACUGGGUGUAGAAGGUCAGGAAUCACAGGCGCUGUGAAGGACCUAGAUGCACUUUGUACCUGGAAUACUGUGUGUGAGCUCACACCUGGCACCUGUCACGCUAGGAAGGAUCCAGUAAAGUGAAGCUCCUAGGGCGCAAACAACUGCAGCCCACCCCUCCCACCUGCUCCAAGUUAACGGGAGACUCCUGGCAGCCGGGGAAGGAGAGCCACGGCUGGAUGGUGCGAGGCUUGCAGCUAUUUCUGCUGCAGCUUCCUGUCCUUGACCCAACAAUACAUUGUGAAGUUCUCCGGAGUCAAUGAAUCCUGGUAAAAUGCAGUAAAGGAUUUAAGGUUAUCAUCUGUCUCUCUCUAACUUCUGACAUCUCUUUAUAACAAGAAAGAGUCACAGCCAACUGUAACAGGAGGGCAACACAAUGAAUCCUGCAUAAGGCGUCAUGCUCAGUAUAAACUAGAGAUGGAAGUUGGCUGGAGAUUGCGGUUUGGGGACUGCAGCUCAUGGACUGGGUGGACAUUGGCUUGUUGGUGGUAAGCAAUUGUUUUUUAUUUGCAUUGCUUUGUCUUGGGUUUUAUUUCUCUCCUUUUUUUUUUUUUUUAAUUGGUGGUGUUGUUGUUAUUAAACUGCUGUUAUUUCAACCCAUGAGUUUAUCUCCUUUACCCUUCCAAUUCUCUUCCCUUCAUCCUGCCAUGGGGGAGUGGGUGAAUGGCUGUGCUCUGCUUAGUUGCUGGCUGGGGCUAAACCAUGACAAAGAUCUGAAAAAACAAUGAAAACAUCUUUUCUUCCUAACUCACUGCAGGUGCCAAAGACCAUCUGGAUCCUUCAGUUAUGCCUAGUUGUGCCUGAUGUCUUACUGUUGAAAGAAAUGGGGUGCAGCAGCAGAUGCCAGCAAAGUAAAGGUGCCUACAUAGUGCUGUUUGCAAAGCAGGGUAACAAUUAAACAAUUGGUGCAGUGGGAUUUCUCUGUCAGAAAUGUCUCUUCAGGCAUUUCAGGGCUCUUUCUUCUUGCUAUCUAUACCUGACUGUUUUAGCAGUCUUCAUCCUCACAGCUUUCCCCCUUUUGCUGUUCCUGCCUGCCCACCUUGUUGCUUAAAACACCUCUGUGGCCAGAAAUUGGCCAUGUUGUCAAGUGCCAGCUUUCUUCCCAAAGGCUGGGGAAUGACCUCAAACAUGGGAGAAGCAUGGCCAGUGCUGUUAUAAUGUAAAUAAACUUGUAAAAUGGUUCAAGAGGCAAAACCCAGAAAAAUGACUAGCAAGUAGCUUGUGCUUUAGAUUAGCUUAAUUUGCUCAAGUCAAAUCUGAAGCUGAUCUGUCUGGCAAACCUACUGAUGCCUACAUUGUCAAAAUACAUGAGACAACAUUUCAUUUCUCUAAAUUUCCAUUAAUUUCAUUGCCUUAUUUUCUUUCUGUUCCUCCUACACCAGGAUGACAUUUUUGAAGUGUACUUUUAAGAGCAUAAUUUGAUCAAAUGAUCCAAGGGAAUUCCCUAUAGAUAUCCAUGAUUUAAUGCUAGAUCUGUUCUAAAGGUUGGCAUGCCUGAUAAUGGCAAUUGGUUUAACACCUGUUAAUUUCUAAAUAAUUAAUAUAGAGUGUUUUUUUCUAGACAGAACUGUGUCUUGUGUACACAGCUCAAUCAGAAAAAUAAAGGCAGGGCCCAGCCAUGCGUGGUGGUGAGCAUUCUGAGCAUCCCAGCCUCAGCCAGAGUGGGUGUUUGGCACCUUGCUGAAGUCAGCCAUUGCGCAUGUCCUCUUGUGAGAUGCUUGUAGGUGACUUCCAGAUGACCUUGAGGAGACUGGACAGGAAUUCACUGGUUGGCUGAUUUAUGUUUCAGUACCGUAGAUAUUCUGUGCUCUGAAAACAAGUAGGGUCAGCAGCUGAAUUUGAAUUUCUCUGUCUUCCCUUUCUCUUCUCCAUUUGUGAUUUUUACUUUCUGGCUCACAGCACAUGCACUAGAAGCUGAAGAAACCUCUUUUAUCAGGUUAAUAUUUUCAUCAUAGUUGUGGCUCACAUCCACAUAGGCUUUGGGCUCCUCUGCUCUGUACCCAUUUCUCGCUCUUUUCAAAGGGAAGUAGGAAACUCUUGGUAUGGGUGCAAAACUUAGAAGAGAUCUAUGCCAAAUAAGAGCAAGAACACAGCUGCACAAGACUCAGCAUACUGCUCACAGACAAAAAGCAGUGAAGGAAAAGAUAACAUUUUAAGCUAAAUGAGAGAUCGUUAUACAAUACUCUUUCCAUUCAGCUCGUUCUAAGAGGAAUAUAUACAUGUGGCAGCAGCACUUGGGACAUGAAGAGCUACUUUGAAAGUAGAUGCGUUUCCCAGUGUUUGAGAUGAGGAUGGAAAGUGGAGAGUGAGAAAGCUGGCUGCCCCUGCAGAGGUGCCCCCCUCUGUGGCCACAGCAAUGUCUGUGAAGCCAUCAUGCUUUUCUGUCCUUAACGAGAAAGCAGCCUGGACUGGCUCAGAGCAAACACGGUUUGUAGGAAGCAUUUCAGGCUGAUGUUCUUGCCUGAGGAGGGAGUUUUCCAGUGGCCUGGCAGAGCCAGUUGGUAGCAUGAACAGCUCAAGCUACAGCAAGGAGACCCAAGCAGAAGUACACGAACUCGUCCAUAUUCCCUCUUACUGUGGUGAAGCAGGAAGGCACAGAAGGGAGGCCUCAAAAUCAUAAGGCAAAGGACUGCUCUGUGGGCUGCCUGGCCACACGUACAGGUGUACGUACGCAAAGCUGUAAAUGGGAGCCCAUGCAGGGGUUGUGCUGUACUGGGAGAGCUAACUGGGCUGGGAAAGUAAGCUUUACCCUUUCAAACAGACCAGUGUAAAUGAUAGCAGAGGGUGUCAUGCAGGCAGUUGGGAUCUUUACACUGAGCCUCAUGUUAUCAGAGGGUUUUGCUCACUGCGCUGCCUUGUGAAAUGCAGCCUGUGACCAGAGGGAAAGUGGUAAGCCAGUGGUAGAACUAGAUUAAAACAGCAGUACGCAAACACACUGACCUCUUCCUGAGUGGUAACCUUGAAUGAAAGCUGAUUCACUGGACUGAUUUCAUUCAGCUUGUCCAUGAGAAAAUAGAGCACAGCAGCGUUGACUGCAACUGGCCAAAGUGCUUGUGAGCUUCAGUGAUCUUCAUGGUAUUUGUUUCAGCUUCCAGGUCCUUAAAGAUGUUAGCAAUGUUAUAAUGUGGUAUUACACUCGGAGCCUACAAAAAGGUAUUGGCAAAAGGCACAAUAUAUAAAUGUAAGAAUGUAAGAAUUUAUUGGUAGUCCAAUUACUAUUUUAAACAGUAUAAUAAUCAAAAUUACUUAAUGAAUAGUGGAAGACCUCAUUAAAAAUAGGGGUAAAAUUGCUACAUAAAAAGUUCCCUAUUCUCUGGCUUUGUGCUUAUUCCUCCAGUGUUCCUUUGGGUCUUAAGACUGACACUUUGGUAUCUCUCAAAAGGAAUGGGGGAGUACUACAAUGAAUUAUCACCAGGAGGAGCAUGAUACUCAUGGGAAGGGGAUGUCUUUCUCCUCAGUCUGGUGUCUGAUUUAGUUUUAUGUUUUCUUAACACUGUCAGCUUACUGGGAUUAAAUGACUUAUUUGUGUCAUCUGCGUCUGCACUCUUUCCCACAGCUGACUCUAGAGCUGUAGGCAUUUCAGUGUACAAUGAAUAACCAUUUGUUAUUACCAUAAACUAGAGUUAAACUAAAAUUUAGUCAAGAGAGCCUCACAGCUGAACAAUUGCUAUCACAACUAAACCAAAUUAAAAUCUAUUUAGGCCCAGACAAACCCAGGGAAUUUCUGGGUCCAUAUACUAUCAUGUCAAUACAAACCUUGUUGCUUUUUAAUAAUAAUGGCUAAAUCACGUUUACUGGGCUAUAAAGUCCCUUUUAGUCUGUGAAUUGCAGAGUUCAGCAAGGAUUUGCAAACCCUUCUAUGACUGCAGAAUCAUGACUGAGCAGUAGAUCUUGGAAGCAUUCACACUUUCCUAACUUUUUUUGAAUUAGAAUAAUUCAAGGUCUGAUUGACUUGUAUUUCUUCAUUGCCAUCAGGAGGCCAGCUAAAAAAAAGUGAUUUUCAUCGCCAAUAUAAUUUGCACAAUCAGCAGGAAUACUGUAGUUAUUAAAUUGAGAGCUAUAGGUUGUAGUGCUAAGUUAAAAAUUCCUGCAGAAGACCAUUGUGUAACCUCAUAAAGGUAUAGGAUAAUUAAGAAUACGUUUGAAUCUAAGACACGUCACACACGAGCACACUCACAGACACUAUCAGAUAGGUUUUACACGAGGCAGUUCACAACAAUUUCUGAAAUUGGCUCUGUACACAAACACAGCUUGAUCUCAUAUAUAUAUUUAGAGAUUGAUUAGAAACAGAAUGAGAGAUGUCAUAGUCACAUCUGUUUAACUUUUGAGCUAAGCAAUCAUCUGAAGACUGGAAACUAAUAUCUUCACAUAUCUAUUGCAUGUUUCAAUGCUAUUUGCUGACUUUCUUCUGAAAAGACUCACUGAAUAUUCCAUUUUCUUUGACAGCCUGUGUUCACAGAUGCACAUUUUUAAUAACAGAAACACUUGUUAUACAUUUCUAAAAUUAUCUGAUCAGCUUCCUCCUAACAAGAACUUUCUCAUCAACUUGAUACAUGACUACGUAUUUUAUGUAUAUGCAGUGUUUCCACCAUGUGAAAAAUUCAAGAUGCUUUAAAAUACCUCCCAUACAAUAGUACAUAAAUAUUUCUUUUAAAAACAUGAUUUUUCCAUGGCAAAAAAAAAUAUACUCUGUUGAUCUAUCUUUUCUUGUGUGUUUUAUAAGCACUCACAGUUUCAACCAUACUUGUAAAUAUAUGUAUACUUUAAUGUUAGAAGUAUAGAUAUUAAUAUCUAGGUAAUCUGUUAAGUGUGGUUACUCUCAAGGAGAGGACAUACAGACCUCCUCAUCUGGAGGGAUCUCACCUUGAGAGGGCCACAACCUCCUAGGGCCCCUCUGCCAAUAUUUCACCACCCUCACGGUGAAUGAGGUAAAUAAUUUUUCCUAAUUCCUGGUCAGAAUUUCCCUUGCUCUGACUUCUGCUAGUUGCCUCUUUCCUGUCCUUGUGCACCCCUAAGAAGAACCUGGCUCUGUCUUCUCUGUAGCCUCCGGGGAAGUAUUUUCAGACAGCAACAAAUCCUCCUGCCCUCCUGGCCUUUUCAAGGCUGAAGAACUGCAGCGCCCUCAGCUUCUCCCAGCACGCUCCCUGCUACAGCUCCCACUGGAGUAGCACCAGUAGGUUAAUGUCUUUCUUGUACUGUAGGAGAUACAGUAAUUACAUGAAAAUUUUCAUUUAUAACAUCUGUUUUUUGUUCAUAUACUUGCUGAUAGUGUAACACCCUUAACUUGUUCUACAGCUGUACUGUCUUCUUGAGUUUUGUCCUGUUUGGUUAAGUUGGAUCUACUUCUACUUCAGUUCGUUCUUCUGAAGUCCAAAUUUCUCCUUGCGCUGCCAGUUCUUCAGUUACCUCCCUUGCCACUAACCAGACAACCCAUGUUUCAGCACGUUAUAGGCUUUUCAAGAGAAAAAAAUUUGCUUUUUUUAAUAUUUUUUUCUUUUUGCAAAAUAUUGUUCUACUUUCUGAAUACAUUGGCAAGAAGCUGGAACUCAAGGGUAUGGUCCCGAAGAGCUGAUUAACACACUGGCCUUGGACCAACAAAGUUUAGGAAAGAGAACACUUAGAGGAAAGAAUACAAGAUUUUAAGAUUAGAAGGGUGGGAGAGCUCUUCUGAGUUUGACUCUGCAAAAUUUCUGACAGCACUUGGCUCUGCCAUACUGCUGCAUGGAGUGCUUCUGAGUUUCAUCUGCAGUUGCUGAGAACAGAGGAUAUUCAGUACUUACCAGAAAGUAUUCUCCCUUUCGAAGGAUGAAGCUCUUGAAGACCCCCCCACCACUGUUAGCAAUAUGACCUUUUCAAGUACUUAAAAUUACUUAAUUAGCAAUAUAACCAUUAGAAAGAACAAAAUCAUUCUAGCAAAAGUAACAGAUCUGUAAUUGCAGGUGUUACAGAAUGUAGUACAAAAGAUGGUGUUUCCAAAAUUUGUUUUAAAGUGUUUUAAAAGGCUGUAUAAAGAAGGGAAGCAAGCAAGCUACCAGGUAGUGGAUUACUUUCCCCUCGGAAAGUAAUUCUUACUUCACUUUUUGUGAAGUAAGAAUAGGGGGAACAUGUAACAAGCAUCUUGCUAUUAAAUUUGCCCAUGACAAAUAGUGCAGCUGCGUGUAGUGUGCCAGAACAUCUGCAGAAUCACGACACAUGCUGAAUCCCCCACACUAAGAGCGUGACAUUAUACUGAAAACAAUUCAGUUGUAGAAGCAAUAUAAAUCCAUUUUAUAUAAUCUUUCUCCACCUUCUCCUCCCCCUUAUCUUUUGAAUCAUGUUAACUACAGGAUUCUGUCACUUCUUCACAGCAUCAGUUAAAAAGUAUAAAAGUGACUAAGCAUUUCAGGAUUAUCUUCUUCUUUCAUUAGCAGCUAGAAUGCAAGUACAUCUUAUCUGAAGAAACAAAAAAGAAAGAUAACCAGUGGCAGAAAUGCACUAGACACCAGAGCUUACUCCAAGUGGAACCUGACAUCGUUUGCAGAUGCAAUUUAACUCUCAAGAAAUCAAGGGGUGAUUUUCUGUGUCAGCAUCUUGUGUGGUUUUUCAGUUGAAAGUAAUCAGUCGAAUUGCUGCCAGUCUUUACUUCACCCAUGUAAAUGACAACACAAAGUACUGUGAUAUGUAAUAUCACAAAGUGUUAUGGAAAAAUAUGCCUAAAAUAUAUAGAUUUCUAAAGUAA